CUGGCAGAACUAAAGCAUUAGAGUGUCUACUUGGCCGCUGUAUUCAAACCACUUAUCCAGGAACAUAUCCAUUUUUGUAACUAUGAUUGCUUUCAGUGGUUACACCUUUAUGGGCUUCUUCUCAUGUUACUCUUUCAUAUACGUCAGAUGACUUGUUUACGUUGAGCCAUGAAUUUUGAAAUGUGAAUCAAAUGUGCUUCUUUUUUGGCCUAAAAAAAUGAGAACCCACAGAAUGCAUUAAGAAGAGAAAGGAAGGAGUUUUUAUCCCAAUCUGAAUUCCUCUUGUUUUCCUUGGCCUGCUUCAGAAGAUUUCCCAAACCUCCUCAGAAGUUUUGAAGACAUGAGGGAAAGUAUUUUGAUCUCUCAGUGUUUCUAUUGAUGAAAAUGACAUAAUUGGAUCCUACUUCCGCAACUGAGGAGUUUUAAAUUUCCUACUAUAAAAAUAUUUUAGGAAAUAGUGGGUUGAAUAUCUUCACUUCUGCUCAUAAAAGGGUGCUAUAUGUUUAUUUCUGCAGGAUCUUUAGAAUGAAAUCUAAAGAUAUUUAUACUUUGAUAAACAUUACAAUUGUUACUGAAUCUAUUUCACAAAUCAAAUGCCAUAUUUUUAUAUCAUGCAAUUAAAUGGUUAAAUUAAAAAAUAAUGACUAGAAGCAUUAACAACAUUGCACUCAAUUCAGUGCUUCCAACCUUCGUAAUG